rnacentral:rRNA from 15 species
GCUUACGGCCAUACCACCCUGAACGCGCCCGAUCUCGUCCGAUCUCGGAAGCUAAGCAGGGUCGGGCAUGGUUAGUACUUGGAUGGGAGACCGCCUGGGAAUACCAGGUGCUGUAAGCC